GUCCGGUUGUACAGCCCUAGCUCAAAGUGCUUCUCUGCCGCUAUUUUUUUUUGCAGGGGCCUACAAACAAUUUGUACGCAAUCUUCUUGGAUGCCCUCGGACAUUGCGUUUCUUUAAAUCUGUAAUUUU
ensembl:ncRNA C15H11.17 ncRNA